rnacentral:rRNA from 1 species
UCGAACGAAGAUACUUAAAAUGAGAGCUUCGGCAGGAUUUUUAUUUAUCUUAGUGGCGGACGGGUGAGUAACGUGUGGGCAACCUGCCCUAUACUGGGGAAUAAUCACUGGAAACGGUGACUAAUACCGCAUGUCAUUACGGAGGGGCAUCCUUCUGUAAGAAAAGGAGUAAUUCGGUAUAGGAUGGGCCCGCAUCUGAUUAGCUAGUUGGUGAGAUAACAGCCCACCAAGGCGACGAUCAGUAGCCGACCUGAGAGGGUGAUCGGCCACAUUGGGACUGAGACACGGCCCAAACUCCUACGGGAGGCAGCAGUGGGGAAUAUUGCACAAUGGGGGAAACCCUGAUGCAGCAACGCCGCGUGAAGGAAGAAGGUUUUCGGAUCGUAAACUUCUAUCAACAGGGACGAAGAAAGUGACGGUACCUGAAUAAGAAGCCCCGGCUAACUACGUGCCAGCAGCCGCGGUAAUACGUAGGGGGCAAGCGUUAUCCGGAAUUACUGGGUGUAAAGGGAGCGUAGGCGGCACGCCAAGCCAGAUGUGAAAGCCCGAGGCUUAACCUCGCGGAUUGCAUUUGGAACUGGCGAGCUAGAGUACAGGAGAGGAAAGCGGAAUUCCUAGUGUAGCGGUGAAAUGCGUAGAUAUUAGGAAGAACACCAGUGGCGAAGGCGGCUUUCUGGACUGAAACUG